rnacentral:lncRNA from 1 species
GGCAAGCAAAGGCACACCAAGCUGAAUUGUCCGUCUCUCCACGUAUAUGUGUGCAUAUAUGUGUGCAGGCCUGUGGGACAUUCUGGAAGGGCACGCACUGCCUACUUGAAGACAGUUCAAGGGACAAGGCAAGUUAAGAAGAGAAAACAAGACUUCAGAUCUGUGCAGUUUGAGUUUUUAUAAUAAAUCAUUAAAAAUAAGUCACCUGCACCAUUUGAAAUGCUCACUGUCACAGCAUAAAGAGACACUAUGGGCAUUGUGGUGUGGACUUCUUCCUUCUGCCCCCAGCCUCCUGCCACAGGAUAGUGCCACCCACAUUCAUUGGGUCUUAGUGUCUGUGCCCAAUGGCCAUCCUUUCUGCAACUACUCAGAGGACAUGGUCACCCAAGGCCUUGCCAAUAGGGUAGCAGAGAUCUGUAGACCUAGGGUUCCAACCCAGAAACAGUUAGACCUGAUGAUAUAGAUGUGUGUCAUUGCUGGCCUUUUAUGGGGGUUUUGGGGAUCUGAAUUCAGGUCCUCAUGCUCACAUGGCAAGCGCUGUACCCACCCAGCCAUUUCCACAGCCCUCCCUGUGCCCUCAACUGCUGGUAACUGGUGUUGACUGGAGCCUUUACAGACUGAUCCUGGGCUGCUUGCUUCUUCUCUCCAAGAUGGCGAGAUGAGGCCCUGGCUUCUAGCUGCCCUUCUGUGGCUACAAGGGCAGGCCCUGUGAUGCCAGGCCCAGGUUCUAAGGUCCCCUCGUCUCCCAUUUCUGUGCAGUGUCCUCCAGUCCUUGCCACAGGCUCAGCGGCAGGCAGCUGGGGUCCACUGGGUGAGAGGACUGGGAGUUUGGGGCUGCAACCCAAUCCCCUUGUAUCAGCUCCUAUCGACAGCACCCUCUGUGCAUCUAAAGGGCUGCCUGGGGACAGACAACUUCCACCUGUGAGGACACAGUGGAUGGAUUCAAGCAGCCACUCCUGGACCCUGUCACCCAUGGGCGAUGUUACAGAGGAGACAGAGUGCUUGAGGAAGAUCCCCAGGACAUGAAGCUGUCGGCUUCUGAUAAUUAAAGGGACUUCAUGGUUUGGUCAAGGGCCCCAUCUGGCACGGUGGCAGGAGGAAUCCUAGCAUUUUAAGGUUUCUCAAAGGAGCAAGCCGACAACAGGACAAGCUAAAGCGCUUGCUAUGUCCCAUCAGGAACAAGUUUUAAUGGUGAAAAGUGAGAUGCUCCAGCAUCUGUGGGACUGUGGGAUGCACCGGUGUCCCCUGUUCAGCUGUGGGGUCAUGCAGACAGCGUGGGGCGGGGGGCAUUGGGAAUGGAGAGGUUGAGUCAGGCUGGAGAGUGUUCGGGCCUUGCUUUUGCAUGCUGUGUGACCCUGGGCAAAUAAAUCAACAAACAUUCUGUACA